rfam:Schistosoma margrebowiei strain Zambia genome assembly, scaffold: SMRZ_scaffold0001934
AUGCAGCUGACGAGUCCCAAACAGGACAAGACACGCGUCCUAU